AAUGAACGCUGGCGGCAGGCCUAACACAUGCAAGUCGAGCGAGCAUUUCGGUGCUAGCGGCGGACGGGUGAGUAACGCGUGGGAACGUGCCCUUUUCUGCGGAAUAGUCCUGGGAGACUGGGGGUAAUACCGCAUACGCCCUUUUGGGGAAAGAUUUAUCGGAGAAGGAUCGGCCCGCGUUGGAUUAGGUAGUUGGUGGGGUAAUGGCCCACCAAGCCGACGAUCCAUAGCUGGUUUGAGAGGAUGAUCAGCCACACUGGGACUGAGACACGGCCCAGACUCCUACGGGAGGCAGCAGUGGGGAAUCUUAGACAAUGGGGGCAACCCUGAUCUAGCCAUGCCGCGUGAGUGAUGAAGGCCUUAGGGUUGUAAAGCUCUUUCAGCUGGGAAGAUAAUGACGGUACCAGCAGAAGAAGCCCCGGCUAACUCCGUG
rnacentral:rRNA from 1 species